rnacentral:misc_RNA from 1 species
AUGAAAGAAUUCAAUUCUUUUUAAUUUAAAAAAUUAUUUUAAAAUAAAUAGAAAUCAAGCAUUAUUAUGUAAAAAUUCAAUUGAUUUCUUUUCUUAUAAAUGGUUUAUUCCAAACGAACCCUUUUAGAUGCACUAAAAUGCAACAUUAACAUUUUUUUUUUACCUUAUUAGUUGCAUCAUAGUAAGUACAAAGGUGCCAAUUAAGUUAGAAGGGUCUUGUUGAAAAUUUUUUGGGGUAAAUUACACAAACCAUACCUUAACAUAGAAGUAUAUAAUAAUAAGUUAUGUAAACUUUAAUUUAUAACAUAAAAUCCCUAAUAUCUAAUUUAAGUAAAAUAAAAGCUCUAUGUGAUUUUCAGUAAUUGAUUUCUAGGUUAUUUAUGUUAUCGUGACAUUUAUUAAAUUGAAAAUUUUAUAUUUUCAUAGGUUAGCCGCUUCAAUUAAAUAGUUGUGGCUAUGGCUGUGUUGAAUUGUGUACUUUGGAUCAUUGCAGCUGAGGCUGUGGAUUUAGGGAGAGCAAGGGGAGAGUAACUAGAGAGAAAUUAAUUUCCUGACAAAUAUCAAAUUAAUAGAGAAAAAAUAUUAUAUGACAAGUGUCACGUCAAUAAAAAUAACCUAGAAACAAGUUAAUGAAAGUCACCCAGAGAUUUUAUGUUACUUAAAUUAAAUAUUAAGAGUUUUAUGUAGUUUAAAUACCUUAUUGUUACAUACCUCUAAUUUGAGAUAUGUUUAUAUAAUUUAAAUUUUUGUCUAGAUAAAUUUAAUAGAUUAAGUCAAUAAUUUGUCCCUGAAUCGAAUUCCACUUCUAUAAGAUUUCCUUAAAAGUUAAGAUCUUCUAAAAUCCCAACAAGAUUAUGUUUAAUACUGAUAUAAAGAGCUUAAAUAGUUAGGUAUAUCAUUCUGCUUAAUUAAUCUCAGGCACUAUUUUUUCAUAUCAGCUCUAACUUGAGCUGUUCAUGGUACUAUUCUUUCAUUCCAGCUCUAAAUUGAGUGAUGGAUUUCGACUAAUUAAUCUUAUGUACUAUUCUUUCAUACCAGUUUUAACUUGAGCAGUGAGGACAUCACGUGUAUCCUUAACUUUUUUUUUUUUUUUAGAGGUUAGUAAAUCGCAUCAAUAUAUUAAUUUAAAAAAUAAUUAAUUACUCUCAUUAAUACUUAUAUAUUUUGAGGGAGUCAAUGUUAUAUAUUAAGAAAAUGACUUAAGCUAUAUUUUAUUUGAAUGUGUCAACAAUAAUAACAACUAAGCCUUAAGGGUCUGUUUGGGUGGGGGUGAGGAAAGGGUAAAUAAGGGUAACGAGGGGUAAAUAAUUAUUAUACCCCUGUUUGGAAAGGGGUGAGCUGGUGAAGGGUAAGGUAAGGGUAAGGGUAAGUAAGGGUAAGGUUUACCCUCCCUUACCCCUCAAAUCUCAAUUUUUUUUACUCCAUAUUGGGGGAGGGGGAGGGGGGAAGAUUUUUACACCCCUUAAUUUUAUCUCUAAUUCACCCAAACAUAAAGAAUAUAUAUUACCCUCCUUACAUUUCCAUUAAUUCAUUCCUUUUCAAACAUGAGAUUUUUUUUAUUGUUACUCUCUUUAUCCUUUCUUACCCUUCUAUUAUUUACCAUUCCCUCAGCUCAUCGAAACAGGCCCUUAGAAACAGGUAGAGUGCACUUACAUGACGAGUUGGUCCUUUUUCUUUCCCAGCCUAGGUGGUUGUGUUUGAUAUAUUUAAUAUUAUU